CGGAAGAAGGGGUGCCUGCAGCGAUGCAGGCCGCAGAGAAAUGGCCCAACCGACUGUUUAUCAAAAACACAGCACUCUGCAAAGACGCAAGUCGAAGUAUAGGGUGUGACACGUGACCAAUGCCGAAAGAUUAAGGCAAGGGGUUAGCCGCAAGGCGAAGCUCUGAACCCAAGUCCCGGUGAAUGUCGGCCGUAACUAUAACGGUCCUAAGGUAGCGAAAUUCCUUGUCGGGUAAGUUCCGACCUGCACGAAUCGUGAAACGAGUUGGGCACUGUCUCAACCAGGCGCUCAGUGAAAUUGUAGUGGCGGUGAAGAUGCCGCCUACCCGCAGAAGGACGGAAAGACCCUAUAGACCUUAACUGUAAGCUGUCAUUGUUUCUUCGGUUUUAAUGCUCAGAGUAAGUGGGAGACGCUGAAGACGCCCUUUAGGGGGCGUCGGAGUCAUCAAUGAGACACCACCCUUUGAAACUGGAGGAUCUAACCCUGAGCCGUGAAUCCGGCCAGAGGACCGUGUCAGCCGGUCAGUUUUACUGGGGCGGUAUCCUCCCAAAGAGUAACGGAGGAGCGCGAAGGUGGGCUCAGCCCGGUUGGCAACCGGGUGUCGAGUGCAUGGGCAUAAGCCCGCCUAACUGUGAGACCAACAAGUCGAGCAGAUGCGAAAGCAGGCCCAAGUGAUCCGGCGGUAGAAAGUGGAAUUGCCGUCGCUCAACGGAUAAAAGGUACCUUAGGGAUAACAGGCUGAUCACGCCCAAGAGUUCAUAUCGACGGCGUGGUUUGGCACCUCGAUGUCGGCUCGUCGCAUCCUGGGGCUGGAGAAGGUCCCAAGGGUCCGGCUGUUCGCCGGUUAAAGCGGCACGCGAGCUGGGUUCAGAACGUCGCGAGACAGUUCGGUCCUCUAUCCUCUGUGGGCGUUGGAAAAUUGAGGGGUUCAGACCUUAGUACGAGAGGACCGGGUCUGACGCACCACUGGUGCAUCGGUUGUACUGUCAAGUGCAUGGCCGAGUAGCUAAGUGCGGACGGGAUAAGCGCUGAAAGCAUCUAAGCGCCAAGCCCAUCCCAAGAUGAGUUUUCCCUAUAGGUUCGUGGAAGACCACCACGUUGAUAGGUCGCAGGUGUAAGUGCAGCAAUGUAUUGAGCCAAGCGAUACUAAUCACCAAUAGACUUCAUCAU
rnacentral:rRNA from 1 species